rnacentral:rRNA from 1 species
GGGAAUAUUGCACAAUGGGCGCAAAGCCUGAUGCAGCCAUGCCGCGUGUAUGAAGAAGGCCUUCGGGUUGUAAAGUUACUUUCAGCGGGGAGGAAGGGAGUAAAGUUAAUACCUUUGCUCAUUGACGUUACCCGCAGAAGAAGCACCGGCUAACUCCGUGCCAGCAGCCGCGGUAAUACGGAGGGUGCAAGCGUUAAUCGGAAUUACUGGGCGUAAAGCGCACGCAGGCGGUUUGUUAAGUCAGAUGUGAAAUCCCCGGGCUCAACCUGGGAACUGCAUCUGAUACUGGCAAGCUUGAGUCUCGUAGAGGGGGGUAGAAUUCCAGGUGUAGCGGUGAAAUGCGUAGAGAUCUGGAGGAAUACCGAUGGCGAAGGCGGCCCCCUGGACGAAGACUGACGCUCAGGUGCGAAAGCGUGGGGAGCCCACAGGAUUAGAUACCCUGGUAGUCCACGCCGUAAACGAUGUCGACUUGGAGGUUGUGCCCUUGAGGCGUGGCCUCCGGAGCUAACGCGUUAAGUCGACCGCCUGGGGAGUACGGCCGCAAGGUUAAAACUCAAAGGAAUUAG